rnacentral:SRP_RNA from 1 species
CCGUGCUAGACGGGGAGGUAGCGGUGUCCUGUAACUCGCAAUCCGCUAUAGCGGGGUUGAAUUCCUGUUUUGAGAUCUUGUUUGAUGUAGGGUCCGCCCUUUACACGUGGUGUUGAGAGUCGGGUCCUUCGCAAUGGACGCCUAUGAACCCGGUCAGGUCCGGAAGGAAGCAGCCGUAAGUAGGAAUGUUCAUGUGCCGAAGGGUCGCCUGAUUUGAGCUAACGAUAAAGGUCCGCUUAUGUCGCAAGACCGAUAACAGGUGCACGG